AACGAACGCUGGCGGCAGGCCUAACACACGCAAGUCGAACGCCGUAGCAAUACGGAGUGGCAGACGGGUGAGUAACACGUGGGAACGUACCCUUUGGUUCGGAAUAACACAGAGAAAUUUGUGCUAAUACCGGAUAAGUGCGAGAGCAGAAAGAUUUAUCGCCGAAGGAUCGGCCCGCGUCCGAUUAGCUAGUUGGUGAGGUAAUGGCUCACCAAGGCGACGAUCGGUAGCUGGUCUGAGAGGAUGAUCAGCCACACUGGGACUGAGACACGGCCCAGACUCCUACGGGAGGCAGCAGUGGGGAAUAUUGGACAAUGGGCGCAAGCCUGAUCCAGCCAUGCCGCGUGAGUGAUGAAGGCCCUAGGGUUGUAAAGCUCUUUCGCCAGGGACGAUAAUGACGGUACCUGGAUAAGAAGCCCCGGCUAACUUCGUG
rnacentral:rRNA from 1 species